GUAGGGAAUCUUCCACAAUGGACGCAAGUCUGAUGGAGCAACGCCGCGUGAGUGAAGAAGGCUUUCGGGUCGUAAAACUCUGUUAUUGAAGAAGAACGUGCGUGACAGUAACUGGUCAUGCAGUGACGGUAUUCAAUCAGAAAGUCACGGCUAACUACGUGCCAGCAGCCGCUGUAAUACGUAGGUGGCAAGCGUUGUCCGGAUUUAUUGGGCGUAAAGCGAGUGCAGGCGGUCUUUUAAGUCUGAUGUGAAAGCCUUCGGCUUAACCGAAGAAGGGCAUCGGAAACUGGGAGACUUGAGUGCAGAAGGAGGAGA
rnacentral:rRNA from 1 species